UUUACUUUGCAUCGGCCUGUGUCAAUCGAGGUUGAGUUUAGGGAGUGUUGAAAGUUUUCGAUCUAGAUUGCAGAUCACUAUUGUCACUUUAUACAAACUGGAAGCAUGCGUUGUUGCGUGUUUGUUUUUGUGGGCAUUUGACUGAGCAGCCCAGACCAAUAUUGCUACCAGCAUGGCACUUCGAAACAGACCACCGCAGUGUUAGAUGACUGACUGACAAGAUCUAUGGGGGGGCCCCCUUUGGGCCCCCCCAUACCAACUUAGUCUUCAAAGGAAUCUAGUGCCAUGGGACUCCAGUGUCUUCAAAACAUCCUCGGAAUACAUGUGUAUGAAUGGUCCACCGAAGGGUUGAUCUGGAAGCCACCACGGUCCACGCAGUAAUAUGCUGCGUGGGCCGUAGUGGCUUCCAGAGCCAUCUUUCGGUCUUGGUCAGGAUUUGUUACAGUUGCCCUUCAAUGUAGCAGGCUACGGGUUUCUGAAGAAGCCUGCUUUACGUAGCAUUGGAGUACAAAUAUUGUGCAAAAUGCUCAUGUAAUUGCACUAGCACUAGUAACCUGUAGAUUAGCUUAGUUUAACGUCAUUCCGUGAUGUCUCUGUCAAAUGUGUGGCUUACUUUAAGUCCACAAGGCCCUCUGGUAAACCAUGUUGGAACACCCCUGGACAAGGUGAUUAGUCACUGGGUGUGUGCUAAAGUUUUGUUCCAUUUUUCACUAGUUGGUUAAGGUUUGGUAGAAUUGUUUGGAUGCUAGCGACGUGAUGGCGUAUGUACAAGAGCCUACCGUGGCCAGGCCACAGUUGCGACGGUCACGGCCAGAUGGCCUAGUGUGAGUGCAACCUUGAUUGCAUUUGUAUACUGUUUACCAUUGGAUGUUUAUGCAAUUUGGCUUAAUUCAUCCGCAGUAAAGCUGCAUUUGACUAUUCCAGGGUAUUGACUAGUUUGUGGGAAUUUUUUAUUUUUUUUUACCCUUGCUUACAAUCCACACCGGUUGUGACCACUUAUGCAACUGGGCUGUGAACCUUGUAAUUCUAGUUGCAUAUUUAUACACGCAAGCUUGUCCAUUUCUAUCGCUAUCACUAACACUAGCUUCAGCAUUUCCUUGUAGGCCAUUAGCUGACUUGUGUAUUGGAGCGAUGAUUUGGGUAUUUUAAGAUGCUUGAAAACCUAAAAUAAAGCAAAACGCGUGUCUGGUGUGCAAGAGCCAAUUUGUUGGCUUGCAGUAGUCGAGGAGUUGCCGUAGGUCGUAAGCCAUCUGGAGGUUGUGGCAAUGGAGGCUUGUGGUAGAUCUGCCAUCCAAGAAAGGUUAAUUCUUCUGAAGCAUGAUUCAUAUUUUAGUAAAUUGAAUCUAUUCAUAUAGAACAUUGGUUCUCAAAGUGCGGCCCGCGGGCCAAUGGCGGCCCGCGGAAUCAUUCCUGGCAGCCCUAGAUGACAUACAUAAUUAUGUAAGUUAGAUAAAAAAAAAAUAUAUUUUUUAUUAUUAUAUCAAUAUUAAUUUAAACAAAAAUAAAUGAAUAUAAAGAGAAAAGUCGACUCUCUCUAGCUUUCAAUUAAAUCCUUUUACAUUUGUUAGUUUUAAUCCGACUGUACAUUACUUUGAAAGGCUGAACCUCAGUUUCGUGAUUUAGACCUCACAUGACCUCACUCCCGGAGGUCCACGGUGCAAUGUUUUUCUUGACCACUGGGAUGCUGGCGGCGUUUCCUGCCAAUUAUUUUUUUCCUUUGGCGGCCCUCAGUCAAAUUAUGGGUUCCUAAAUUGGCCCUCAGUUGUCAAAACUUUGAGAACCCCUGAUAUAGAACUGAUAUAGAACCAGUCUUACUGGCUCCAAGACUGCAGCCAGUAACUUGGAUCGCAAUAUGUGGAAAGUAUUAGUCUUCAUUUGUAACAGAAUAAUUAACAUGACUAAUGCCGCUUUUCCACUGCAUGGUACCAGCUCGACACGACUCGACUCGACUCAGCUCGCCUUUUUUGCGUUUCCACCGCGAUCUAGUACCUCAAGUGGCUGCUUUUUCUAGUACCGCCUCGCUCUAGGUUCCAAGCGGCUGAGCCGAUGCUAAAAGGUGACGUCGGCAGACGGCCGGCCACUGAUUGGCCAGAGAGUGUGACGAAGUCACGAGAGCGACAUGGCAACCAUGCUGGUAACAGCCAUAGCAGCGCCGCAGCCAACAUAUUCCACUUCUUCAACAUGCCAGCUAAUAAUACGCACACGAAUAACAUCGCAUCGAUGUUCUCCAUUGUUGUUAUGUUGGUUCUGUCCAUGUGUAGGUUACGUAGGUGUUGUUUGCGUCGCGUACAAAAAUACGUCACAGCCCUUUCGCGCAGCCGACCCCGCCCACGUCCCGGAGGUACUAUUUGCGGUGGAAAAGCACCCGCGCUGCUACCGUGUCGAGUCGUGUCGUGUCGUGUCGUGUCGAGUCGAGCUACAUGUGCGGUGGAAAAGCGGCAUAACUG